UACAGAGGUCCCAAGCGUUGUUCGGAUUUACUGGGCGUAAAGGGUGCGUAGGUGGUCGGGUAAGUCUCAUGUGAAAUCCCGCAGCUUAACUGCGGAACGGCAUGGGAUACUAUUCGGCUCGAGGAUUGGAGGGGGACUGGAAUUCCCGGUGUAGCGGUGAAAUGCGCAGAUAUCGGGGAAGGAACACCCUGAGCGGACGGCGAAAGGCACCGUCGGUCCAUUCCUGGGAC
rnacentral:rRNA from 1 species